rnacentral:rRNA from 1 species
UACAGAGGUGGCAAGCGUUGUUCGGAAUUACUGGGGGUAAAGGGCGCGUAGGCGGCCUUCUAAGUCAGACGUGAAAUCCCCCGGCUUAACCUGGGAACUGCGUCUGAUACUGGGAGGCUAGAGUAUGGGAGAGGGAUGUAGAAUUCCAGGUGUAGCGGUGAAAUGCGUAGAUAUCUGGAGGAAUACCGGUGGCGAAGGCGGCAUCCUGGACCAUUACUGACGCUGAGGCGCGAAAGCUAGGGGAGCAAACGGG